rnacentral:rRNA from 1 species
CACGUAGGGCGCAAGCGUUGUCCGGAAUUAUUGGGCGUAAAGAGCUCGUAGGUGGUUUGUUACGUCUGCUGUGAAAACCUAGGGCUUAACCCUGGGCUUGCAGUGGGUACGGGCAGACUAGAGUGUGGUAGGGGAGACUGGAAUUCCUGGUGUAGCGGUGAAAUGCGCAGAUAUCAGGAAGAACACCUAUGGCGAAGGCAGCUCUCUGGGACGGUACUGACGCUGAGACGCGAAAGCGUGGGGAGCGAACAGG